rnacentral:rRNA from 1 species
AACGAACGCUGGCGGCGUGCUUAACACAUGCAAGUCGAACGGGAUCUUCGGAUCUAGUGGCGGACGGGUGAGUAAGACAUAGGUAACGUGCCCAGGAGUGGGGGAUACCCAGCCGAAAGGUUGGCUAAUACCGCAUGAUAUGGAGGGGGGAGGCUCCUCUCUAUCAAAGAUUUAUCGCUCUGGGAUCGGCCUAUGCCCGAUUAGCUAGUUGGUGGGGUAAUGGCCUACCAAGGCAUCGAUCGGUAGCUGGUCUGAGAGGGUGAUCAGCCACACUGGGACUGAGACACGGCCCAGACUCCUACGGGAGGCAGCAGUGGGGAAUUUUCCGCAAUGGGCGAAAGCCUGACGGAGCGACGCCGCGUGGAGGAUGACGGUCUUCGGAUUGUAAACUCCUUUCAGCAGGGACGAUAAUGACGGUACCUGCAGAAGAAGCAUCGGCUAACUACGUGCCAGCAGCCGCGGUAAGACGUAGGAUGCAAGCGUUGUUCGGAUUUAUUGGGCGUAAAGCGUGCGUAGGCGGUCCGUUAAGUCUGGUGUUAAAGGCAGAGGCUCAACCUCUGUUCGCACUGGAUACUGGCGGACUCGAGUCCGGUAGGGGGAGUUGGAAUUCCGAGUGUAGCGGUGAAAUGCGUAGAUAUUCGGAGGAACACCAGCGGCGAAGGCGAACUCCUGGGCCGGCACUGACGCUGAGGCACGAAAGCGUGGGGAGCAAACGGGAUUAGAUACCCCGGUAGUCCACGCGGUAAACGAUGGGUGCUAGGUGUAGGGGGUAUCGACCCCCCCUGUGCCGUAGCUAACGCGUUAAGCACCCCGCCUGGGGAGUACGGCCGCAAGGCUGAAACUCAAAGGAAUUGACGGGGGCCCGCACAAGCGGUGGAGGAUGUGGUUUAAUUCGACGCAACGCGAAGAACCUUACCAGGGCUUGACAUCUGUGGAAUCUCCCAGAAACGGGAGAGUGCCUGAAAGGGAACCGCAAGACAGGUGGUGCAUGGCUGUCGUCAGCUCGUGUCGUGAGAUGUUGGGUUAAGUCCCGCAACGAGCGCAACCCUCGGUGUCAGUUGCCAUCAUUAAGUUGGGCACUCUGGCGCGACUGCCGGUGACAAACCGGAGGAAGGUGGGGACGAUGUCAAGUCAUCAUGCCCCUUACGUCCUGGGCUACACACGUCCUACAAUGGUCGGGACAGAGGGCAGCAAAGCCGCGAGGUGGAGCGAAUCCCACAAACCCGGCCUCAGUUCAGAUUGCAGGCUGCAACUCGCCUGCAUGAAGGCGGAAUCGCUAGUAACCGCAGAUCAGCAUGCUGCGGUGAAUACGUUCCCGGGCCUUGUACACACCGCCCGUCACACCACGAAAGUUCGUCAUGCCCGAAGCCGGUGCGCUAACCGCAAGGAGGCAGCCGUCUAAGGCGGGGCGGAUGAUUGGGGUG